rnacentral:misc_RNA from 1 species
GAUGAAGAACGUAGCGAAAUGCGAUAAGUAAUGUGAAUUGCAGAAUUCAGUGAAUCAUCGAAUCUUUGAACGCACAUUGCGCCCGCCAGUAUUCUGGCGGGCAUGCCUGUCUGAGCGUCAUUUCAACCCUCAUGCCCCUAGGGCGUGGUGUUGGGGAUCGGCCAAAGCCCGCGAGGGACGGCCGGCCCCUAAAUCUAGUGGCGGACCCGUCGUGGCCUCCUCUGCGAAGUAGUGAUAUUCCGCAUCGGAGAGCGAUGAGCCCCUGCCGUUAAACCCCCAACUUUCCAAGGUUGACCUCAGGUCAGGUAGGAAUACCCGCUGAACUUAAGCAUAUCAAUAAGCGGAGGA